rnacentral:lncRNA from 1 species
CGAUGAAUUCCGUCAUGGGGGAAGGCAUGCAGUCUCUGAUUAUCAUCCCCUUGGCCCUUAGGCUUUUUAAAUGAGGCUUUUUCCGUCUUAAUAAUAUUUCUUGUUUCUCAUCAAGAAGAUAAAUGGAGUUAUAUCUUUUCAGCCUACCAAGCAAAAUUGUUUCUAAAAAAAAAACUAUCACUAUCUAAAAGCAUUAGGAAUUAAAUUUACUGUAGUCAAGAAGAUGCUCAGUAACUGGAAAGCAUUUUUUACCUGUUUUGACACUGAAGCUUCGUUAAACCAAAAGAAAAAGGAGACAACCUAUUGGUAGAAAGGUCUUUACAAUGAUGUAUUGAUGCCUACAAAAUUAUUUUUUUUGUCUAACAUGGUUCUGACUAGUACCAUAACUUCAAGUGCUUAAUUAUUAUCAUGCACUUAUUAUAUUGUUGAAAACAUGGUGUUAAUUAUCUAUUCCCUUCAACUGAUAUUUAUUUAUCAUUGCUUUAGUUUUGCGCAUGGAGCAAGAUGUUGAAAAGUUUAUUCAUGAUCCUGCUUGACAGCAGCUGCCUACUUCAUAUUUACGGUUAGCUGCGCAUCAGAUUGUCCAACAUUACUCGCUGCAAUCCAUGGUUCUAUUGGAUAAUAGUUUACCUGAUGGUCUGGUUCCAAAAUUAUCGUUUGCGAUACUUCUGAAUGUCGUCUUCCAGCUAUCCGCCUUGCAGAUAUUCCUGUAAAUCUACCAGCAGAGGAAUAUAGUAGCAUAAAGGUUGCUAUUAAACAGAGGCCACAGAAGUGGUCCCAACUAGCAAGAGAUGCAAGUGCAAAUUCAUCAAAAACGAGGGAUUCCAAAAGUGUGGAAGAGAGGAAAAGGAGUAUAAUAAAGCUCGUGCUCAAAUAUUUAACUCCAGCAGCAAUUCAGGCUGUCAUGCAAGUGAGAAAGUAGAUGCUGAUCCUAGACCACAGGAUAGUUAUCGUGGUUGUUUGAGUGCUGCAAAGGUUGAGGAGAAGAUGAUUCUGGAGUUCCUGAUAUAAAUUUUAGUAGGGGUUUGAUUGACUGUUCCACGAGUAGCAGUAGAAUAAAUAGAAGGUAGGACUGACAAGGAGCUGCCUAGUAGGCAGUACAAACCAAAUAGUAGGGUAGCCAUUCUUAGAGAUCGUGAGAUUGGCAGCAAGGACCCUGAUUAUGACAGGAGUUAUGAUAGGUAUGAAAUGCAAUCCUUUAUUCUCUUGGUUUGAUCUCAAUGUGUGUGUAUAUACAUAUAUAUUUGCAAAAUCUCUCGUUUAAAAGGUCUAUCCAAAAACAUGUUCUAAAAGUUUUCUCGCUUCAAACUCUGUUUACGAACUCUUUCCAAAACACUUCUUGGACAUUUCUCUUUGUUUUUGUUUGUUUUUUUUCUUUGAAAAAUAAGAUAUUUUACAAAACUUCUGAAAAACUGCAUGAGCAAGGAUGUUGCCACACACAGGGCAAUGAGCAGCAAGGCAACAUGCACCAUGGUGCGCGGAAGAUGUUGUCUUGGUGCCAUCUUUGCACAUGCGGAAGCGAACUUUCAAAUGCAUUUACAAAACAUUGUGGAAAACACUUUUUUUUCUUCCUAUUUUCUUCUAGAAAGUCUUUCCAGAACAUAUGUAUAUAUGUGUGUGUGUAUAUACAUAUAUAUUUGCAAAAUCUCUCGUUUAAAAGGUCUAUACAAGAACAUGUUCUAAAAGUUUUCUCGCUUCAAAUUCUGUUUACGAACUCUUUCCAAAACACUUCUUGGACGUUUCUUUUUUUUUGUUUUUUUGUUUUUUUCUUUGAAAAAUAAGAUAUUUUACAAAACUUUUGAAAAACUGCAUGAGCAAGGAUGUUGGCCACACACAGGGCAAUGAGCAGCAAGGCAACAUGCACCAUGGUGCGCGGAAGAUGUUGUCUUGGUGCCAUCUUUGCACAUGCGGAAGCGAACUUUCAAAUGGCAUUUACAAAACAUUGUGGAAAACACUUUUUUUCUUCCUAUUUUCUUCUAGAAAGUCUUUCCAGAACAUAUGUAUAUAUAUGUGUGUGUAUAUACAUAUAUAUUUGCAAAAUCUCUCGUUUAAAAGGUCUAUACAAGAACAUGUUCUAAAAGUUUUCUCGCUUCAAAUUCUGUUUACGAACUCUUUCCAACACACUUCUUGGACGUUUCUUUUUGUUUUUGUUUUUGUUUUUUUUUUCUUUGAAAAAUAAGAUAUUUUACAAAACUUUUGAAAAACUGCAUGAGCAAGGAUGUUGGCCACACACAGGGCAAUGAGCAGCAAGGCAACAUGCACCAUGGUGCGCGGAAGAUGUUGUCUUGGUGCCAUCUUUGCACAUGCGGAAGCGACUUUCAAAUGGCAUUUACAAAACAUUGUGGAAAACACUUUUUUUCUUCCUAUUUUCUUCUAGAAAGUCUUUCCAGAACAUAUGUAUAUAUAUGUGUGUGUAUAUACAUAUAUAUUUGCAAAAUCUCUCGUUUAAAAGGUCUAUACAAGAACAUGUUCUAAAAGUUUUCUCGCUUCAAAUUCUGUUUACGAACUCUUUCCAAAACACUUCUUGGACGUUUCUUUUUGUUUUUGUUUUUGUUUUUUUCUUUGAAAAAUAAGAUAUUUUACAAAACUUUUGAAAAACUGCAUGAGCAAGGAUGUUGGCCACACACAGGGCAAUGAGCAGCAAGGCAACAUGCACCAUGGUGCGCGGAAGAUGUUGUCUUGGUGCCAUCUUUGCACAUGCGGAAGCGAACUUUCAAAUGGCAUUUAAAACAUUGUGGAAAACAUUUUUUUCUUCCUAUUUUCUUCUAGAAAGUCUUUCCAGAACAUAUGUAUAUAUAUGUGUGUGUAUAUACAUAUAUUUGCAAAAUCUCUCGUUUAAAAGGUCUAUACAAGAACAUGUUCUAAAAGUUUUCUCGCUUCAAAUUCUGUUUACGAACUCUUUCCAAACACUUCUUGGACGUUUCUUUUUGUUUUUGUUUUUGUUUUUUCUUUGAAAAAUAAGAUAUUUUACAAAACUUUUGAAAAACUGCAUGAGCAAGGAUGUUGGCCACACACAGGGCAAUGAGCAGCAAGGCAACAUGCACCAUGGUGCGCGAAGAUGUUGUCUUGGUGCCAUCUUUGCACAUGCGGAAGCGAACUUUCAAAUGGCAUUUGCAAAACAUUGUGGAAAACACUUUUUUUCUUCCUAUUUUCUUCUAGAAAGUUUUCCAGAACAUAUGUAUAUAUAUGUGUGUGUAUAUACAUAUAUAUUUGCAAAAUCUCUCGUUUAAAAGGUCUAUACAAGAACAUGUUCUAAAAGUUUUCUCGCUUCAAAUUCUGUUUACGAACUCUUUCCAAAACACUUCUUGGACGUUUCUUUUGUUUUUGUUUUUGUUUUUUCUUUGAAAAAUAAGAUAUUUUACAAAACUUUUGAAAAACUGCAUGAGCAAGGAUGUUGCCACACACAGGGCAAUGAGCAGCAAGGCAACAUGCACCAUGCGUGCGCGGAAGAUGUUGUCUUGGUGCCAUCUUUGAACAUGCGGAAGCGAACUUUCAAAUGGCAUUUACAAAACAUUGUGGAAAAACACAUUUUUUUCUUCCUUUUCUUCUAGAAAGUCUUUCCAGAACAUAUGUAUAUAUAUGUGUGUGUAUAUUACAUAUAUAUUUGCAAAAUCUCUCGUUUAAAAGGGUCUAUACAAGAACAUGUUCUAAAAGUUUUCUCGCUUCAAAUUCUGUUUACGAACUCUUUCCAACACACUUCUUGGACGUUUCUUUUUGUUUUUGUUUUUGUUUUUUCUUUGAAAAAUAAGAUAUUUUACAAAACUUUUGAAAAACUGCAUGAGCAAGGAUGUUGGCCACAACAGGCAAUGAGCAGCAAGGCAACAUGCACCAUGGUGCGCGGAAGAUGUUGUCUUGGUGCCAUCUUUGCACAUGCGGAAGCGAACUUUCAAAUGGCAUUUGCAAACAUUGUGGAAAACACUUUUUUUUCUUCCUAUUUUCUUCUAGAAAGUCUUUCCAGAACAUAUGUAUAUAUAUGUGUGUGUAUAUACAUAUAUAUUUGCAAAAUCUCUCGUUUAAAAGGUCUAUACAAGAACAUGUUCUAAAAGUUUUCUCGCUUCAAAUUCUGUUUACGAACUCUUUCCAAAACACUUCUUGGACGUUUCUUUUUGUUUUGUUUUUGUUUUUUUCUUUGAAAAAUAAGAUAUUUUACAAAACUUUUGAAAAACUGCAUGAGCAAGGAUGUUGGCCACACACAGGGCAAUGAGCAGCAAGGCAACAUGCACCAUGGUGCGCGGAAAGAUGUUGUCUUGGUGCCAUCUUUGCACAUGCGGAAGCGAACUUUCAAAUGGCAUUUACAAAACAUUGUGGAAAACACUUUUUUUCUCCUAUUUUCUUCUAGAAAGUCUUUCCAGAACAUAUGUAUAUAUAUGUGUGUGUAUAUACAUAUAUAUUUGCAAAAUCUCUCGUUUAAAAGGUCUAUACAAGAAAUGUUCUAAAAGUUUUCUCGCUUCAAAUUCUGUUUACGAACUCUUUCCAAAACACUUCUUGGACGUUUCUUUUUGUUUUUGUUUUUUUUUUUCUUUGAAAAAUAAGAUAUUUACAAAACUUUUGAAAAACUGCAUGAGCAAGGAUGUUGGCCACACACAGGGCAAUGACAGCAAGGCAACAUGCACCAUGGUGCGCGGAAGAUGUUGUCUUGGUGCCAUCUUUGAACAUGCGGAAGCGAACUUUUAAAUGGCAUUUACAAAACAUUGUGAAAACACUUUUUUUCUUCCUAUUUUCUUCUAGAAAGUCUUUCCAGAACAUAUGUAUAUAUAUGUGUGUGUAUAUACAUAUAUAUUUGCAAAAUCUCUCGUUUAAAAGGUCUAUACAAAACAUGUUCUAAAAGUUUUCUCGCUUCAAAUUCUGUUUACGAACUCUUUCCAAAACACUUCUUGGACGUUUCUUUUUGUUUUUGUUUUUGUUUUUUCUUUGAAAAAUAAGAUAUUUUACAAAACUUUUGAAAAACUGCAUGAGCAAGGAUGUUGGCCACACACAGGACAAUGAGCAGCAAGGCAACAUGCCCAUGGUGCGCGAAGAUGUUGUCUUGGUGCCAUCUUUGCACAUGCGGAAGCGAACUUUCAAAUGGCAUUUACAAAACAUUGUGGAAAACACUUUUUUUUCUUCCUAUUUUCUUCUAGAAAGUCUUUCCAGAACAUAUGUAUAUAUAUGUGUGUGUAUAUACAUAUAUAUUUGCAAAAUCUCUCGUUUAAAAUGGUCUAUACAAGAACAUGUUCUAAAAGUUUUCUCGCUUCAAAUUCUGUUUACGAACUCUUUCCAAAACACUUCUUGGACGUUUCUUUUUGUUUUGUUUUUGUUUUUUUCUUUGAAAAAUAAGAUAUUUUACAAAACUUUUGAAAAACUGCAUGAGCAAGGAUGUUUGCCACACACAGGGCAAUGAGCAGCAAGGCAACAUGCACCAUGGUGCGCGGAAGAUGUUGUCUUGGUGCCAUCUUUGCACAUGCGGAAGCGAACUUUCAAAUGGCAUUUGCAAAGCAUUGUGGAAAACACUUUUUUUUCUUCCUAUUUUCUUCUAGAAAGUCUUUCCAGAACAUAUGUAUAUAUAUGUGUGUGUAUAUAUAUAUAUUUGCAAAAUCUCUCGUUUAAAAGGUCUAUACAAGAACAUGUUCUAAAAGUUUUCUCGCUUCAAAUUCUGUUUACGAACUCUUUUCCAAAACACUUCUUGGACGUUUCUUUUUGUUUUUGUUUUUGUUUUUUUCUUUGAAAAAUAAGAUAUUUUACAAAACUUUUGAAAAACUGCAUGAGCAAGGAUGUUUGCCACACACGGCAAUGGCAGCAAGGCAACAUGCACCAUGGUGCGCGGAAGAUGUUGUCUUGGUGCCAUCUUUGCACAUGCGGAAGCGAACUUUCAAAUGGCAUUUACAAAACAUUGGGAAAACACUUUUUUUCUUCCUAUUUUCUUCUAGAAAGUCUUUCCAGAACAUAUGUGUAUAUAUGUGUGUGUAUAUACAUAUAUAUUUGCAAAAUCUCUCGUUUAAAAGGUCUAUACAAGAACAUGUUCUAAAAGUUUUCUCGCUUCAAAUUCUGUUUACGAACUCUUUCCAAAACACUUCUUGGACGUUUCUUUUUGUUUUUGUUUUUGUUUUUUUCUUUGAAAAAUAAGAUAUUUUACAAAAUUUUGAAAAACUGCAUGAGCAAGGAUGUUGGCCACACACAGGCAAUGAGCAGCAAGGCAACAUGCAUCAUGGUGCACGGAAGAUGUUGUCUUGGUGCCAUCUUUGCACAUGCGGAAGCGAACUUUCAAAUGGCAUUUACAAAACAUUGUGAAAACACUUUUUUUUCUUCCUAUUUUCUUCUAGAAAGUCUUUCCAGAACAUAUGUAUAUAUGUGUGUGUAUAUACAUAUAUUUGCAAAAUCUCUCGUUUAAACAGUCUAUCUAAAUUAUUUUCUAAAGGUUUUAUCGCUUUAAAUUCUAUUUACGAACUCUUUCCAACAUAUUUCUUGAAUUGUUGUCUUCCUUUGCGGUUUUGUUUUGUUUUCCUCAAAAAUGAUAUUUCACAUAACUUUCGAUAAACUGCACGAGCAAGGGUAUUGGCCACACAGGGCAAAUUUUAUUUUAAAAGGCCUAUCCAUUAACAGUUUCUAAAAGUUUUCUCACUUCAAAUUUUGUUUUUAAAAUCGUUUCAGAAUCUUUUCUUGAAGUUUCGUCUUCAACUUUUUUUAUAAAGAAAAAAAAAACAUUUCAUUCAACUUUCAAUAUACUCGGCGAGCAAGACAGCAUACAGUCGAUGUGUGGAAGACACAGCCUUGGUGCCACUAUGGCACAGGCAGUCAAACAAACUUACAUAAUAUUGUCUUACCUUUUUUCUCUUCUUUUUUUUCUCUAAAAAACUCUUUCCAAAACACAUUUUCAAUUUAGAAAAAACACAUUCUCUCCAAUGUAGAUUUUGCAAAAUAAAUUCUGUGUAUAAAUAUUACUUGAGAGUGAAUUUUCACUUUUGUGUUUUUUCUAUAUCUUACAUUUAUCUCUUCAUGAUUAUUGGAUAUGUGCUGUAACUUUUCUCGUAUGUUUCCAUAUAAAUUACAAAUGUUGUAUAACAUUUAUCAAUGUAGAAAAAAUCUUAGGUGAUUAAAGGAAAGUUGAUUGUCCAGAAAUUACUUUUUCCUAUUUCAUCAUCAACCGACCUCAAGGCCUCCUAUGGUUGUUCUAUUUUUCAUUUUUAUUUUCUUGAAAUUAAGUCUAUAAACGCUCAUUCUACCUUUAGUUAUACGUUCUAAAAUUAUAUUAUAUUUUAGUUUGACUUCUUGUAUAUUAUUAUUUUGGUACAUUUCUACCAUUUCUACAUUUUAUUUGCACAUAAUUAUAUGUUCUUUUUAUAAUGAUAGAUAACUUCUUUGUUACAAUGUCCAGUUAUUUGACAAUCAUUCAUUUCUAGUUCUGAUUAAUUUUUCUUUGUUAUCACGGGGCACUUUACAGGUAUUUUUAUUUUACUUCUUUUGAUGGAUUUAUUUUUCUUUAGUUUUUCUUCCAACAUUUUCUCUCUCAUCUUUUUCUACUUUUCUUAAGUAUAUUAUUAAAUUUUAUAUCUCUGGAGUCUUGGUAGAAGUUAUUUAUUUUUGCGGUAGGGGUGAUUUCUCUUUUUUGCCCAUUCUGUUUUCUUGGUUCUCUUUCUUUUUUUAUACAAUGGUAACUGAAACAUUCAAAGCCUUGCUUUCGGCUUCCCUAGCUAGCCACAGUGAUGUAUUAUAUGCAAAUGGCAGUUUUCCUUUGGACACUGAGAAAAGGCAAAUGCAAAUGGCAACUGCACGGUACACCUUACAGGACAGUUUUUGAUGCUUUUGCAGGUAAUUUGUAUUAGUUGUGUUAUGUCUGGAAGUGAUUUUAUAUUAUUAUAGUUGUACUAGAUGUUCUAUCCUUGGGACGCAGAGAAAAGGCAAAUGCAAAUGAAGAGUACACACUGUCCUGGAUGAUACUUUGCAGGUAAUUUGUAUUAGUUGUUAUGUCUGGAAGCGAUUUUAUAUUAUCAUAGUUUGUUGUUAGUUGUUAUAAGUAAUUCUGAAGUCUGACAAUGAUUAUUUAGAGUGAAAUCUGGGCAGGUUUGUUGGAGACAAACCGUCUGACAUACAUGAUUUAUGUUCUUUGUAGUUCUGUGCUCAUUGCCUAUGUGAGUAUAGUCUACUUUCUUGUCCUCACAAUCUUUUCCCAACCUUUUCAUGUCUUUCAUAUUUUGAACUGCAUUCAUGGUUUUCGUAUAACUAUAAUAGACGCUCUUAUUCUUUUACUGUGAAACCACUUUUAGUUAUCUAUUUGCAAUAUGCUGUAUGUUCUAUUAGACAGCUACUUGUAGGAGUAUAGAUGAUGAAAUAAACAGAUUUAUUUUGUUAGACGAAAUCUAGUUGAGGAAUUUGACGUUUUUCUUCCUUUAUGUAAAAUCCUAAUAUUAGAAAACUAAGCAAAAGCAGAAAUAGUUUGCAGAGCUGUAGCUUAGGAAUUAUUUUCCUCAAUUUGACUUGAUGUUUGACGCAGGUAUAUGGAUGGGUGAUGGAUAUAUUGCUUUUGAGUGAUUUUUCACUUUUGUAUUCAUUUCUCUUUACCAUUACGGGAUCUGUCUUAUAACCUUUCUCAUGAUUUUCUACGUGAAUUGCAAUUGUUGUAUAAUAUUUUAUCAUAUUAGAAAGAUAUGAGGUGAUUAAAGAAAAAUUGAUUGUCCGGAAAUCAAUUUUUCUUAUUACACCUCAUGUCAAUGCCCAAAUUCCAUAACCAUUUGGUUAUUGUUAUCUUAAAAUUUUGAAAAUUGAGUCUAUAAACACUCAUUCUACUAGAAUUAUAUCAUAUUCUUUAGUUUGAUAUCUUGUAUAUUAUUAUUUUGGUACAUUUCUUUUGUCUUAUUCGCACCAAAUACCACGUUUCUUUGUUUGUUUGCAUGCGGUGCUUUCAAGGUAUUUUUCCUUUACCUCUGUUGACAAAAAAAUAUUUUGUGUACUUCUUCUUGGUACAUUUUCCUUUUCUUCUCAUCAUUUGCUACUUUAUUUUAAAGUAGAUUAUGAAAUUUUAUUUAUUUAUUUUUGGUGGAUGAAUUUUUGUUUUUGUUUUUUUUUUUUUUUGCCAUUUAUGAUCUCUUGUUGGUUCUUUUUCUUUUUUGAUGUUAGUUUUUUUAGUUUUGGAAAUGAAUUGAUAUUUACUCCUUUUGAAUGUGGUCUUUUAUGAGAAGGUAAAAAAAUUUAUCUUACUUUUUAAUGCCAUUCAUUGUAAUUUUAUUUUUGGUAUCUUUUUUUUUUACUUCACUUGUGUAAUUUAUUUUUCUUGGAUGGUGAAAUUUUUUUCACCAUUUAGCUGUGUUUAGUUUCUUUUUAUGUUACAUUCUUAUUUUGUUUGCUUUCUCUAGUUUUAUUUUGUUUUUUUUUUCAAUUAUUUGUAAUUUGUUUUACCAUUUUUAUAAUAUUAUUUUCUUUAGGUCUAUUAUUAUCAGAUAUAUAUUUUGUGGUCAUGGUAGAUUUUUUCAUUAAGGAUAUUUUUUUAAAUUGCAAAAUAAAUUAAAAUAUUUAGUCUAUUGUAAAAUUUUGAAUUCUAUCAACGAUAAAAAUGAUAGACAUUUAUCACUGUCUGUUAUUGUUUAUUAUUGAUAGAAUCUAAAAUUUUGCUAUAUGUUGUAAAUAUUUUGUCAAAUUUGUCAUUUUUGACAUUUUCACUUUUCAUUAUCGUCAUGGAUUCUCUUUUUUCACACUUCGUCUCUUUUCUUUUAUUUAACCUUUCUUUAUGAAAUGUUGUAUCUUUCUGCUUUUCUCUCAAGUGAAAUAUUAGAUUUGGUACUUUUUCUUUUACUCAUUUGGUACAUUUCUUGUUGAACCAAGGUAUAAUUUGUUCUUCUUUGAUGGUUCAAAAUAAUCACUCUACGUUUGACUUUGGUUCUUUUAUUAUCUGGCACAACUUUUAUAUAUAGUUAUUUUCUUUGGUAAAUUUAUUAUAUUAUUAGAUAUAUUAAUUUGUUAGUUUUGUGUACUAUCCAAGGCAGUAAAGAAGUGUAGAAUGACAACUCCUUUCUAUUUUCUAAUUCACUUUUACAAAUAUUAGUUUUAGUAGUUUUUUAUUUUACUCAUUUGGUCAUAUAUUUCUUUUCUUUUGGAAUGGAUGUGUAAUUUUAUUUUUGUUGGAUGGUUUGAAAUAUUUAGGUUCAUGUUGUCAUUCUUCUAGUUUUAUUUUUGAAUAAUUAUAAUUUGUGACAAUUUUUAGAAUAAUGACUAAGUGUAGUAAUUAGAGGUUUAAGAAUAACUUGGGUAAUCCAACAACUUGGAUUAUCCAAUCCAUAUUAUAUGGGUUGGGUUGGGUUAGGUUAAAAUAUGGAUUGGAUUGGGUUGGGUUGAAAAAAUGAAUUUUUUUUAGUUGGGUUUAGUCUCGGGUUGUAAGGUUGAAAAAUUCGAUCAUAUAUAUAUAUAUAUAUAUAAAUAAAUAUUCCUCUCUUCUCACUCUCAAUCCUCCUUUGCGCGUCGCAUCCCUUUUAUUCUCACAUCUCCUACGUCUUCGACAUCUCCUUCGUCUCUACUUUCCUUCAUCUCUGACUCUCCUUGUCCUACUUAUCCCGCGCAUUCCUUAUAUUAUCACAUCUCCUCCGUCUUCGACAUCUUCAUUUCUAACUCUCCUCUAUCUUUGAUCUUCACAGUUCAUCUCGUUAGAUCUCAGAUCUCAUAUACUCGCAGUUCGACGUCAUGUUCUUCUUUGUCAAUCUCUUCAGCUUCUGAAUAACCCGACAAUCCAAUUUAUAUUUUAUGGGUUGGUUUAGAAACUUGAUUUAACCCAAAUAACCUAAAAGUAUGGGUUUGGUUGAGAUGUUUCUCAACCCAACCUUACUACACCCUUAACAGCAACUUUUUUAAAAAUUGCAGAUAUAGCAAAAUUCUUUAGUGAUAAACUUCUAUCGCUCAUAGAUUAUUAUGGUCUAUCAUGAUUGAUUUUGACAGAUUUUGCUUUAUUUGUAAAUUUUUUAAAAUGUUGCUAUAUAUUUAAUUAUUUUAAAUUUAAUUACUAUAUUUGCAACUAUUCUUUUAUUUUGUGUGGUUCUUCUAUUAUUUGGUACACUUUAUAUAUUAUUAUUUUCUUUGGUUUUAUUAUAUUAUGAGAUAUAUUCUGUUAAUUUUGUGCAAAAUACUCUACACAUAUUUUACUUGCUAUAUGUUUCUUUUCUUUGAUUCUUCCAUUUAUCUUUUAAUUCUCUUUUGAAUAUUUAUUUUCUUGAAAAUCUUGGAUUGUAUUUUGUGGAUUUUUUUUCUUAACGUGCACUUCAUCUUUUGAGGUCAAAUGUUUAAUCUAUCAUUUGAUUUAUGUAUCAUGGUCUUAUUAUUUAAGAACGAGUUCACUACAUUCGAAAAAUCAAGACUCUGUUUACGAACUCUUUCCAAAACACUUCUUGGACGUUUCUUUUUGUUUUUGUUUUUGUUUUUUUCUUUGAAAAAUAAGAUAUUUUACAAAACUUUUGAAAAACUGCAUGAGCAAGGAUGUUGGCCACACACAGGGCAAUGAGCAGCAAGGCAACAUGCACCAUGGUGCGCGGAAGAUGUUGUCUUGGUGCCAUCUUUGCACAUGCGGAAGCGAACUUUCAAAUGGCAUUUACAAAACAUUGGGAAAACACUUUUUUUUCUUCCUAUUUUCUUCUAGAAAGUCUUUCCAGAACAUAUGUAUAUAUAUGUGUGUGUAUAUACAUAUAUAUUUGCAAAAUCUCUCGUUUAAAAGGUCUAUACAAGAACAUGUUCUAAAAGUUUUCUCGCUUCAAAUUCUGUUUACGAACUCUUUCCAAAACACUUCUUGGACGUUUCUUUUUGUUUUUGUUUUUGUUUUUUCUUUGAAAAAUAAGAUAUUUUACAAAACUUUUGAAAAACUGCAUGAGCAAGGAUGUUGGCCACACACACGGCAAUGAGCAGCAAGGCAACAUGGCCACACACUCGUUAGUUGUGAGCUCAACUGGGAUUGAGAGUACAAUUGUCCCGCAUAUCAUUCAUUCCAUUAGCUAAUCGCUUCUGUUGCGAUCCUUGGUGGUUCAACCCAUUUGUUCUUUCAUAUCAAUCGUAGUACAACCCAAUCGCUCUUAAGUUGACUUCUCAUACUUAUAGAUUAUGAUUCUCAAUUAUUUGGCUAAGAUAACUUCCAUCGUUGAGCCUCCCUCUACUCAUUCCAAUCACAUUUCUUAACUUUGUUUUCUCUCAUUAUUUGUUGUCAUUUGCUCAACAAGUAUUUAUAUAAAUCAUCCCAAAUCAACUCCCACUUUUCAGAUUUCCAUGGAUAUAAAAAGAAAUGGUGGCUCAUCAUUCGUACCAUUUCUUUUGUUGAUGGGCAUGAAUUACGGGUCAUUAUGAACUCACCAACAAGCAACCAACCAUUUUGACUCCUUGUUAGUACUUAAAAGUUAACAACUUUAAUCAUCUUCUACUAGAUAAAAUAAGUUGUGUUUUCAAAGUUCAUGUGUAAAGCAAAAGAGAUUGUCUUAUAGUGACUUUAACAUAGAUUACACUCCCAUUGUGAAAUAAUAUAUAACUAUAUUUAUAUCAACUAUAUAUUACAUAUAUAACAAAACCCUAAAAUAAAGUUAAGUUGUCCAAAAUAACAAACUAGCGUCCUCCUUGAAAAAUUAUAAAAAUUUCAAGUUAGAUUGUCUUGGAUUUUAGGAUGUAUUAAGGCUAUCUCCAUGUAUUAGAGAAUAUAAGAAAUUCUAUUUAACAAUUUAAAAAAUUAUAAGAUUUUUUUGUAGCCUUAUCCUUGCAAUUGAAGUAGGAGAUUAAAUCCGAAACUCUUGUCGAAAUUGGGCAAGCAUGCUAGCCUGAAAAGAUUGGUUCCGUCGGAAAACAAGAGGGGUUGGUCAAUAUCGGUUUCAGAAAGUUUCAAAUUGAAAACUUUAAAAAAUUAUUUAUAAGUCGAUCAACCCAAUUAAUAUCAACUGACACUUACUCAUCAAUGUCGAUUUUGUAAAAAAUACCAUCUCCGACCGACCGAUUAACACCGAAGUCGGGAACUUACGCAUACUAGAUAAGUGUAGAGUAUAUAUAUCUUUUUCAAAUUUGAUUAAAUUACCAAAUAUUAUAUCCAAUUCUCUCUCUACCCUUUUUUUAUCUGCGUUCCCGCCCGCGCUCGGUGAACUCAUUUGCGCAGCUCUUUCCUCUUUCUCUUCUUUGUCUUCCUCUCGGCUUCACAAUCUUCAUCGUCAAUCUUUGAUCCAGCCUAAGAAGGCGCUGUACAUUAUAGGGUUUUAAGUAGAAGGUGAGUUUUCAGAUUGCUUUUAUAUCUUCUGUCAAGCUAUGAUGCUUUUGGUACUUAUCGACCACUUUCUCAUGCAAGAAUAUUUGAGUUUGAGAAUUAUUUGCUGAAAUUUUUAUGGGUUUAUGGAGUAUUUUCUACUUUGUUUUGGCGGAGUUGAGUUUGCUUCUUAGGUGUAGAGAAGUUUGUUCAGUGUUGUUUUUGUUUUUGAGGCUACAACUCAAUGAAAAAACUCAUUGUUCAUGGAAUUAGGGUUUUAUCUUGUUUAAUGGGGAACAGGCAUGUUUGGUAUUGAUUUUGUGCAUUGUACUGGUAGUCGAGAUCGCAUUGCCAUCUUACAGUUGCUUAUUCUUUUUUUUCUUAUUUUCUUGAUAGUUAUUAGACAAUUGAAACCUCAUAAUUCAACCAAAAUGGCGGCCUUCAAUCUCGUUGCGGAUAUGUAUGACCCGGCCUUGAAGCCUCGCUUGCUACAUAAACUUCUUAGGGAGCACGUUCCCGACGAUAAGCGUGCAUUUUCUGAUUAUUCAGAACUUUCAAAUGUGGUUUCUAUGAUCACAUCCCACGAUCUUCUCUCUGAAUCCUCGUCUUCCAAGGACCAAAAGCUGAUUGAUAGCUGGAAAUCCGCUGUUGAUUCCUGGGUCAACCGUUUGUUUCUUCUUCUCUCCAACGAUAUGGUAUAAGCAUGCAUUAAAUUCUAUUUAAAUAAUUUUUUUAAUAAUACAUAGCUUUUGCUUUAUACUCCCGUGGAUUUGACUAUUUGUCGGCUGCCGGGCUUAUGUGUAGCUUGUUCGAAGAACAGCUGGAACGAAGUUCAGUGGAACUUGUUAAGUUUCAUAAUCAAUGAGUUCGCUGCUGGUUAUUGAGAGAAAAUUUAUAGUUAGUGUUAAUCUAGAAAGUUUGUCGCCUUAGAGCGCCCUUUGCGCUUUGAAAACACCGUUUAAUUCUUAGAAACUGAACAUUUGAACCUUGCUUGCAUAUUUGGCAAUUCAUUGGCAUGCAGGAAGAUAGGGAAUAAUAUUGACUGUCUUUAUUACUUUGUUUUUUAGAUAUUGCUCAACUUCCUUUUGUGGGUUACUAAUUUUAGCAUCCAAUCUUUCUAAAGCCUGAUAAAUGUUGGGCGGGAAUCAUUUUACUUGGAGUGACUUGUCAACGAUGCAGCUCUAGUCGUUUCUUGGCAUCAUAUACAGAAUGGCUUCACAAGCUUUUACCUCACAUGCAGGUAACAGUUAGUUUUUUAUGGGAUUGAUUCUAUAUUAUUUCUUUACAUGUAUUAAGUGGCAAAAAUGUUAAAUUAUAGUGUACACAUGAAGAAGAAUAAGAGUUAAAUGAUAAGUUAUUCCAUCAGAACUAAGAUACCGGUUACUGUUUGGGACACAUAACUGCAAUAAUUCAACUAUGCUUUUGAGCAUGUGAUGUGGCUGGAUCGUCUUUGACAGUCGACCUGUUUGACUACAGUAAAUAUGUUUGUUCUGAAAUUUGGGUAUGAUUGGUUGUAAGAUAUUCAUCAAAAUGAGUUCUGGACAUUAUUUGUGACAAUAAGUGAUUAUUGUUUCUUGGAAAGAAUGCAAAAUCACGCAUUGGGGGUUUCCAAGCUCUUAUUCUUUUCAUUAAUAUAGGAUUGAACAAGUUAAGAUAAACUACGGAUGAAAUAGCAGGUCUAACCAGCUCUCCUCGUACAUGGGUCCCCAAAGACAUGCAUCGGCAUGUAUCUGAUUAGCAUAAGAUAGCCUUUGGCAACACUUAAUGAUUGUGGAGCUACUGAAGGACCUAAUGCACUGCUAUUCUUGAGCAUGGUUAUCUGAUAUUUUAUCAAGUGUUAUACAAAGUGCAAUUUUUUUUUCUUCUGAAGACACAAAAGAAUAUAUUGAUCACAAAUAGUGUGUACGUAGUUCCAGAGCAAUGUCAAGUUCCUUCUUUUUCUGUUCCUUUUAUUUAUAUUGUUUCUGUCUUUAGCUUUACAACUUAUAAUCAUCAAUGCUUUUUUUAUACUUGAAUGCUACCAAGAAUUUACAACGUUUUCAUUUUUUGUGUUUUUAUUGUUCAAUAGACAGAUUCUCAGUUUCUGAAGGUGGCCUCUUGUGCUUCAAUCUAUGAUUUAUUCUCGAGUACAUCUUCAUUUGACCUUGGCAGAAAUCUAUCACACGAAGUUGUCCCUCAAACACAACCCUUUUUUUUAUUCGAAAUGGUAACAAUGUCAUUGAUAAGAUGAAAUUAUAAAAGGAUACCUAUCAAUUGGAUUACAAAAAACUCUUCCAUCGAGUAAUAAGAGAAACUAAAUCAUAAUUAUAAAAAGGGUAACCAAUUCACCCCAAGUGAGGGUUGUAUGUGUCACUCAAACACAAAUUGAUUUGUUAACUAUACCCCUUCCAAAAGCGAAAUUUUUAUGUGCCUUGUGUAUAUUUAACUGAAUACCUCUUAGGAUUUGUUUAUUGUUGAUUCUACAUCGACUUUGUGGUCUGUGGAUUCAACUAUUGAAUGCUGACUUGAGAAUAAUAGAUAACUGAUUGAAUCACAUUCUGUAAGUUAUUACUGUCAAGUCGUUUUAUUGCCAAUAUGAGCAUAGAACUAUUGGUUAAGCAUAUAUCCCACCUCCAUAUGUUGUUGAGCUUAAAAAUAAAAAUUGUCUAUUUAUUUAUUUUUUAAAAUAAAAUAACCACUUUCAUUGAGCAAAAUCAAAGAAAAUUGUCUAAAACUUUUAAGCAAUAUGCUUGACCAUAUUAUUGCUUGUUUCGUGACUUUUUAAGAUGUAUCUUUUACAAAUUAGAUUGGGUAGAUUUCAAAGUGUAAAGAAAGAUGGACUUCUUGUGCUGGAAGUCAUUCAACCUGUUGCAUGAUGAUAAUACUGAAGCUGUUUUGGUAAGUCCAUUUUUCAUGGACUAUUUUCAUGCAUUCAUGAGCUAAAUAAUUUUGUAACAAUGGUAUUUUAAUUAUCUAUGCAACUGAGAUCCUCUUUUGUAAAAAUUUCUUAGUCUUUUGUGAAAUUUUUCAUCUCUCUUUUUGUACUCUUGCUUGGUAUUGGUAGUUGCAACUUUGUUUUAAAAUAUGUAACUAUCUGCAUGUUGUUUGAUGCAGGAUAAUGCGGUUAAUCUGUUAUGCACCUUGAUAGAUUUCUUCCCCUUCACAAUCCAUCGUCAUUAUGACUCUGUAAGUGCUUUAACAAAUAAUGUGAUAUUGAUUCUGUUUUAAAUUACAAUUUUGGAACUCUGGUAGCUUUCUGACUUUUCUGUUCACUGGUGAUGUAAUCUAAGCUUCCGAAGUUUGUUAUUAUUAUCGUUAUUAUUUUUAAUUUGAUUUAGUUUAAUUUUUUUCCUUCACAAAAAAACUGCUAUAAAAAACUGGAAAGAGAGUGUUUGUAUUACCAUUAGAAGCUGAAAUAAUUAAAUUUUCUCCCAUAAUUGCACUCAACAUCUUCAGCACAUAUGGCUUCAUGCUGUCACUUGUCAGCAUGUUGUUUAUCUAUAGAUCACUAUCUUUGUAAUUCAAAAACUGACAAAGUUUAAAUUCCAUGCCAAAUAGAAAAAAAGGAUUUAUGUUGAAAUAGUUGAUUUUGUUUCUUCCUGAUGAAUUGGAUAUAUUCUAUAGGCCGAAGCUGCAAUUGUUUCAAAAAUAUUUUCAGGAAGUGUAGUUCUAACAUGCUGAAGGUACUGUGCCUCUUAUGUAGUUUUAAUCAUAGUACAGUAGAUAUUAACGUCAAAUGUCCCCAUAAUUUUCUCGUGUUUUAUAUUUCAAAUUUAGAAGCUUGCCCAUUGCCUGCAUCACUUCCAAAAUCAAAAGGAGACGAAGAUAGCUGGUCUUUACUAAUUCAGAAGAUUUUGUUAUCCAUCAAUAGUCACUUGAAUGAGGCCUUCCAAGGCAUCGGUGAAGGUAUACUGAACUGUAAAACAAGUAAAGCUAUCUCAAUUUAUGAAAAUGGUGACAAUGAUGCAUUUGAAUGUUUUUUGUAGAUUCAAAAGGCAUUGAAGUUGUAAGGUUACUGAUUCUACCAGGAAAAGAUCCUCCACCACCUUUAGGUUGUUGUUCACAAUCAGAAGGUUCCUUGGACAAAAUAAAAAAGAGCUCAGAGCGGAUGUUAACAUCUAGUAUUUCAACCUUGAUGGUUUGCUGUUCCACAAUGAUAACAAGUUCAUACAACCAUCAGUAGCAACACGUCAUCCAUUUUUUGUUAUGCUCAUAUUAAAAGAGGAAAUGUUCCCCUCUAUAUGAAUCUAUAUACAUCUACUGUGACACCUCACUUUCUUAAUUAAUAUAAUGAAAUAAAGAAAGUGGUGUUAAAUUGAUCUUUAUUUGUAUUAUAUCAGGUGGCAGUUCCCAUUCGCCCGUUAUUAGCUCUUGUUGAGAGAGUGCUGACGAUGGAUGGUUCUUUGCCACCCACUUCAGUGCCAUUUAUGACAUCUCUGCAGCAAGAAUCAAUGUGUUUAGAACUUCCGGUGCUGCAUUCAGUCAGUUUGGAUCUCCUCGUUCCAUCAUUAAGAGCCUUCGCAGUGAGGCAUCUACUAUUCAACUACACGACUAUAUACCAUAAAACCUUUAUGCAGACCCAGACUUUUUCAGUAAUCAAUACCCAUCCAUAAACAUAUCACAUGUGCUUUCUUCCACCUCUACAAGAUGCGAUCAACAAUGAUCUUUCAUGUUAUAUGAAUACGAAAAUGAUCCAAUGUAUACAAAGUUUCCACUUAGAUAAGUUGGAAGAAAAUGUGUGAAGUCUAGCCUGUCAAUUGCCACUGAAAAAAAUAUGGAUGCCAUAUUUUGUUUAUAUAAUUAUUAUUAAAUUCCUUUUCAGUCAAUUGUUGCCACAUGCUGCAUCAAUUGUACGACUCAUUGUGAAGUACUUCAAGAAGUGUGUCUCUGCAGAACUGAGAGUAAAAGUCUACGCAGUUGCUAAGUCAUUGAUGACGUCUUUGGGUGUUGGUAAGAAUUAUAUUGUGUUUCAUUUGCAUGGAGAUAAUUAUAAUUAUUGUUUUAAUGUCUAUAUGGAAACAUUGUUUUGGAUGUAUACUUAUUCAAUGCCGCAUUUGAAUCAGGAAUGGCUGCAUCUCUUUCUCGAGAUGUGAUUGACAAUGUACUAGGUGAUUUGAACCCUGUAAAUAAUGAGAGUUCUGAUCCAUCUAAUGUGAAUCCAAAGGACACGCAAAGAGAUUACCGCAACACCAUAAUAAGAGAAAACGCCCUUCAGUUCCCACUUCCAUGAAAGGCAGCACGAGAGGAAUGAACCAGAGGACAUUACCAGCAGCUGUAGCUAUACCUCAGUCCACUUGAGGAUAGCUGCACUUGAGGCUUUGAAGACUCUUCUUACAUCGGUGGGCAUUAUAUAUUUAUUUGUCUCUUUGGUUAAUUAUUUUGCAUACGAAUUUAUUAAAAAAGUUAUUAAUGGGAAUAUUUUUGGUUCAUUUGUGUCAAAUGGUUUUUAACUGCUGACUGCUUUAUUUAUUUAUUUGUUUGUUUUUUUCGUUGAUUAUUUGUAUAGGCUGGUGCUUUGAGAUCUGAAGAAGGAUGGCGUGCAAAAGUUGAACAUCUUUUAAUAACAACUGCAACAUCUUCUCUUCAAUGGCCACGAGCCUCGACGACACCUUUUCCAAGCCAAUGAAUCUAUUGAGGUUUGGGUGGAUUAUCAGUUGGCGGCAUUUCAUGCACUACUGGCUUCUUUUUUGUCUGCUGUCCAUGUACGCCCACUGGCUUUGGCUCAAGGUCUCGAGCUCUUUCGUAAAGGUAAAUCUCUUUUGAUAUUUCGUUUGAUCAUGUGGAAGGCUGGGUUUGAGAACGAGGAUGCUAGAUCACCUUAUUUAUGAGUCAAACUGAUAGGCAUUUUCUUCUUCAGGUAAACAAGAAAAUGGAACCAAACUUGGUGAGUUUUGUGCCAUGCUCUCUUAGCCAUGGAGGUUCUAAUACAUCCGAGGGUCCUUCCCCUCUCGGAUUUCUUGCCAUUGCGCUUGAGCUCUCCUGAACCACAAGCUGCCUUUAAAUUCCAGGAAGAUCUGUACUUCAACAGUAACGAUUCUAGAAAUUGUUGAAGGUCGGCCCGCAAAGCAUGGAGCAGAUGGCCUCCGAGGCUCUAAUUAGUGAUGAUGUGGUAGAUAACAAUGAAAUGACGUAUAGCACCUCAAAUGAUAUUGAAAAGGAGCCCUCUGCAAAUGCAUAGCGAAUAUAGAAAUGCCCAAGAGAACCGAACAGGCCACUGCAGCAGCCAUCUCAGAAGUAGGGUUGUAGCGGAAGAUGACGUUGAAUUUGCUAAUGCAAGUAUGAAUAGUUCCCCCAUGUCAUCAAAAUCAGAUAAAAUCGAAGAUUUUGACGGGAUUCGAGCUCGAAUUUAUUGCUAGAAGAUGACUUUCCUGAUAUUAUUGAUGCAGAUCCUGAUACAGACUAUGAAGAGUGAAAAAGGUAUUGUCAAUCAUUGACUCAAUUUUGUAGUUUUAAGGCUUAAGGGUGUUGUUCAGAACUCAAAAUCAAUUAUUAUUGUUGUUUCUAUUCAUGUAGCCAUAGAUGGCUUGAACUGAUGAUCGAGAAUGGUUAUGUAUAUAAAAAGGUGAAAGUUAGACAAAUUUCAAAAGCUUUGAUUGCUAGUUUCUGAUAAAUUUUCUUUCAAUCAUUUUUAUUUUUUUCAUUCUUAGAUAAUGGGGUGCCGAUUUGCAAUAUACGUUAGGACAACGAUUAGAUGCAUUAUAGAAUAUACCAUCUUUUAAGUAAUGUAUUAGAUACGGUAGGACAACGAUUAGAAUGUAUUAUAGAAUAUACCAUCUCGUAAGUAAUAUGGUAUCUUUUUGAAGUCCUAAAAUGUUGAGGAUAAAUUUGUGGGUAUUACAAUCUCGAGAUGUAGUUAAGAUCAACAAUAUCUAAAUAGGCAAUUAAAUAAACAAUGUCUAAAUAGACGAUUAAAUGAACCCUUUAGAAAGAGAGCAAAAAUAAAAUGACAGAGUGAAGUUUCUUUAAAAAAACUUUUUAAAAAUUAUUGUUUUGAUAAUAACUGAUCGUAGUUAACUACUAGUGCUCAGUCUCUUUUACAUCUUACUCUAACUUAUCAUCAUGUUUGAAUCAAUUUUUAACUUAUCAUCAUGUUUGAAUCAAUUUUAGGGUUAAGUGAAUGUCAAGUGAAUGUAUUUUGUUCUUACAACAUAUGUGUUAAGUGAAUGUAUUUUGUUCAAACUCAAUUAAUUUAGGAAAAAUGUUUUAAAUAAAAACUAUUUAAAACAUUUACAAAUAUUAAAAUUUAUAUGUUUAUUAGUAUUUUUGUUAAUUAAUUUUGAAAUUUUAGUCUGUUUUGUAAAUAUGGUUUAUUUUGCUAUUUUGAAACAAUCCAUUUGAAUGUUGUUUUGUUUAAAUUAUUAGAAUUGUAUUAUUGGAUAAAAGACAUUUAAAAAUAGCAAAUAUUAAAACUAUUUAUACAAAAUUCCUCAAACUUUUCAUAUAUUUAAGUUUUUCUUUAAAAUUAUAUUUCAUAAAUAGUUUUUUUUUAUCCAUAACAAAUUUUCAUGAUAAAUGGUAAAGCAUAUUAAAUAUGUAAAUAGUUCAACUCAGUUAAUUGUAAUUUGGUCAUAUCAUACUAAAAAAGUUAUAUGUAUGUUAUUUAAAAGAGUUCAUAUCAUACAGUUUCUUAAAUUUUAGGUACCAAACUUAUAAGAUACAAAAAUCAAAGUUUAAAAAUAGAAAGUAAAUAUUUUGGCAUUCUAUUUCUAAAAAAAAACUCCUUAUAAUAAUUACUAGUAAAAAAAAAAGUUGGUUGAUUUUCAUUUUUUUUUUAAUCUCAACCUUUCAUGUUAAACUUUAUAUAAAGAUUUUUUUUUAAAUGACAAUUUAACAGUAAGAUUUUAUAUUAUAUCAAUUUGAUAAAUAUUGAUAGACAUUAAUAUGAUAAUAAAUAUGAUAGAUAUUCAUAUGUUUUUAUCUGACAAUAAUAGAAGUUUAUUUAGUUUAUCUCGUUAAUAAAAUCUAAAAUGUUUGUCUAUGAUGAAUAUUUUAGUUUAUUUUUGUAUUUAAAAAAUAUCCUCCAAAAAACGUAAUUUUUUUCCACUAAAAGUUAUUAAAAUUUAAUAACAAGAGUUGGUGAAUUGCUACAUUUUAUUUCAUUUAUAUGUCAUUUACAUCCCAUUGUAAUUUACAGAUUUUUUUUUUCAAAUGGUAUGGGUAAGUAAUCAGUGCGGUUUAGUGUAAGGAUUAGUUAUAUUCAAAUUAUAGCAAACUAUCUUAAUUUGAAACUUAACGGCGUCAACGACAAGCAACGGCGUCAACGACAAGCAACGGCUACAUUUUUAGGUUUAUUUACUUCAUUCAACUCUCAAAACAAUCUCCGUCGCAAUUUCUCUCUAGAAUUUUCUUCUUCCGCCUCCGUGCACAGCGUCGAAUCUCCAAACCCUAAUUAUAAAUGCAAUUCCGAUCCACAAAUUCUUAUGCUACCUCGAUCCCUCUUUGGGAGCUUCUAUUCCCUAAUCUUUGAUGUCUUGCUUCGUCUGCGGUUGAGGAUCUCGGAGGACCGGAGUCACGGGAGGUCGCUGAUUUGGAUGAAGCCAUGAGUCGAUUGAUGCUCCCUUUUUCAUCUCCUAAGAAGAAUUCCAAAUCCUUGGAUGUGGCUGAUGCUGCUCCUGCCUAUCAUUUUUCAUCCGCUUGAUUUCCUUCCCUUUCUGGUUCAGCUUAUUCUGCUCUCGAUAGGGUUUCCGAGGAUGCUAUCAAUCAGGUUGAUCAGUUCCUUCGUGAGGCUUUGCAUAACCCUCGGAGCGUCUAUCAAGUAAGUUGUUUAUUUAGCUUUCCUUUAUUGUAGAUGGUCAAUGGUGUAUUGGUUUCAGGAGUUGUCUAAUGUCAUGUUCUGUAGAGGAGGAGAUAGUUAAAAGUUGCUAGCUACGGCCUUCUCGAAGGUGGGCUGGAAGUGGCUGGUUGCUUCCCGGAUUUGUAGGCUUUUAGUUUGUUCUAGUCUUUCGAAUGCCUCAUUUAAAUCAAUGGUAUUAGAAAUUUAGAAGUAUUAUUGCCAAAAACUACAUGGUGGAUUUCAUGAAGAUGUGAUAUAUGUUUGGAACAGUAUGUGAAACUAUGUGACAUGAUGUGCUUUUAGGUAAUCCAAGACAAAGGUUGGAUGGUUGUAAGACAAUCUUGGGAAGAUGUGUGGACUAGUGGAGGGUUUUUGGUUUAACCGUUUUUCUAGUCGGUACGGGUGGUGGAUUCGAAGAAUUAAUUGCUGAAGGAGUUGUAGGACUUAAAAGCUGGGUUGCAAAAUGAAUGCAAGACGAAAUUUAGAAGAUGGAGAAGAAAGGGAGAUUUUGUUGCUAUUGGAUGUUCUGAAUACUUAGAGCUAAAUGAUGAAAAUAAAAUAAUUUACGAGCUAAACUUUUGCUGUGAUUGGCGAUGAAUUCCGUCAUGGGGGAAGGCAUGCAGUCUCUGAUUAUCAUCCCCUUGGCCCUUAGGCUUUUUAAAUGAGGCUUUUUCCGUCUUAAUAAUAUUUCUUGUUUCUCAUCAAGAAGAUAAAUGGAGUUAUAUCUUUUCAGCCUACCAAGCAAAUUGUUUCUAAAAAAAAACUAUCACUAUCUAAAAGCAUUAGGAAUUAAAUUUACUGUAGUCAAGAAGAUGCUCAGUAACUGGAAAGCAUUUUUACCUGUUUUGACACUGAAGCUUCGUUAAACCAAAAGAAAAAGGAGACAACCUAUUGGUAGAAAGGUCUUUACAAUGAUGUAUUGAUGCCUACAAAAUUUUUUUUGUCCUAACAUGGUUCUGACUAGUACCAUAACUUCAAGUGCUUAAUUAUUAUCAUGCACUUAUUAUAUUGUUGAAAACAUGGUGUUAAUUAUCUAUUCCUUCAACUGAUAUUUAUUUAUCAUUGCUUUAGUUUUGCGCAUGGAGCAAGAUGUUGAAAAGUUUAUUCAUGAUCCUGCUUGACAGCAGCUGCCUACUUCAUAUUUACGGUUAGCUGCGCAUCAGAUUGUCCAACAUUACUCGCUGCAAUCCAUGGUUCUAUUGGAUAAUAGUUUACCUGAUGGGUCUGGUUCCAAAAUUAUCGUUUGCGAUACUUCUGAAUGUCGUCUUCCAGCUAUCCGCCUUGCAGAUAUUCCUGUAAAUCUACCAGCAGAGAAUAUAGUAGCAUAAAGGUUGCUAUUAAACAGAGCCACAGAAGUGGUCCCAACUAGCAAGAGAUGCAAGUGCAAAUUCAUCAAAAACGAGGAUUCCAAAAGUGUGGAAGAGAGGAAAGAGGAGUAUAAUAAAGCUAGUGCUCAAAUAUUUAACUCCAGCAGCAAUUCAGGCUGUCAUGCAAGUGAGAAAGUAGAUGCUGAUCCUAGACCACAGGAUAGUUAUCGUGGUUGUUUGAGUGCUGCAAAGGUUGAGAGAAAGAUGAUUCUUGGAGUUCCUGAUAUAAAUUUUAGUAGGGGUUUGAUUGACUGUUCCACGAGUAGCAGUAGAAUAAAUAGAAGGUAGGACUGACAAGGAGCUGCCUAGUAGGCAGUACAAACCAAAUAGUAGGGUAGCCAUUCUUAGAGAUCGUGAGAUUGGCAGCAAGGACCCUGAUUAUGACAGGAGUUAUGAUAGGUAUGAAAUGCAAUCCUUUAUUCUCUUGGUUUGAUCUCAAUGUGUGUGUAUAUACAUAUAUAUUUGCAAAAUCUCUCGUUUAAAAGGUCUAUCCAAAAACAUGUUCUAAAAGUUUUCUCGCUUCAAAACUCUGUUUACGAACUCUUUCCACAACACUUCUUGGACGUUUCUUUUUGUUUUGUUUUUGUUUUUUUUCUUUGAAAAAUAAGAUAUUUUACAAAACUUUUGAAAAAACUGCAUGAGCAAGGAUGUUUGCCACACACAGGGCAAUGAGCAGCAAGGCAACAUGCACCAUGGUGCGCGAAGAUGUUGUCUUGGUGCCAUCUUGCACAUGCGGAAGCGACCUUUCAAAUGGCAUUUACAAACAUUGUGGAAAACACUUUUUUUUCUUCCUAUUUUCUUCUAGAAAGUCUUUCCAGAACAUAUGUAUAUAUAUGUGUGUGAUAUACAUAUAUAUUUGCAAAAUCUCUCGUUUAAAAGGUCUAUACAAGAACAUGUUCUAAAAGUUUUCUCGCUUCAAAUUCUGUUUACGAACUCUUUCCAAAACACUUCUUGGACGUUUCUUUUUGUUUUUGUUUUUGUUUUUUUCUUUGAAAAAUAAGAUAUUUUACAAAACUUUUGAAAAACUGCAUGAGCAAGGAUGUUUGCCACACACAGGGCAAUGAGCAGCAAGGCAACAUGCACCAUGGUGCGCGGAAGAUGUUGUCUUGGUGCCAUCUUUGCACAUGCGGAAGCGAACUUUCAAAUGGCAUUUGCAAAGCAUUGUGGAAAACACUUUUUUUUCUUCCUAUUUUCUUCUAGAAAGUCUUUCCAUAACAUAUGUAUAUAUGUGUGUGUAUAUACAUAUAUAUUUGCAAAAUCUCUCGUUUAAAAGGUCUAUACAAGAACAUGUUCUAAAAGUUUUCUCGCUUCAAAUUCUGUUUACGAACUCUUUCCAAAACACUUCUUGGACGUUUCUUUUGUUUUUGUUUUUGUUUUGUUUUUUCUUUGAAAAAUAAGAUAUUUUACAAAACUUUUGAAAAACUGCAUGAGCAAGGAUGUUGGCCACACACAGGGCAAUGAGCAGCAAGGCAACAUGCACAUGGUGCGCGGAAGAUGUUGUCUUGGUGCCAUCUUUGCACAUGCGGAAGCGACCUUUCAAAUGGCAUUUACAAAACAUUGUGGAAAACACUUUUUUUCUUCCUAUUUUCUUCUAGAAAGUCUUUCCAGAACAUAUGUAUAUAUAUGUGUGUGUAUAUACAUAUAUUUGCAAAAUCUCUCGUUUAAACAGUCUAUCUAAAAUUAUUUUCUAAAGGUUUUAUCGCUUUAAAUUCUAUUUACGAACUCUUUCCAACAUAUUCUUUGAAUUGUUGUCUUCCUUUGCGGUUUUGUUUUGUUUUCCUCAAAAAUAUGAUAUUUCACAUAACUUUCGAUAAACUGCACGAGCAAGGGUAUUGGCCACACAGGGCAAAUUUUAUUUUAAAAGGCCUAUCCAUUAACAGCUUCUAAAAGUUUUCUCACUUCAAAUUUUGUUUUUAAAAUCGUUUCAGAAUCUUUUCUUGAAGUUUCGUCUUCAACUUUUUUUAUAAAGAAAAAAAAAAACAUUUCAUUCAACUUUCAAUAUACUCGGCGAGCAAGACAGCAUACAGUCGAUGUGUGGAAGACACAGCCUUGGUGCCACUAUGGCACAGGCAGUCAAACAAACUUACAUAAUAUUGUCUUACCUUUUUUCUCUUCUUUUUUUUCUCUAAAAAACUCUUUCCAAAACACAUUUUCAAUUUAGAAAAAACACAUUCUCUCCAAUGUAGAUUUUGCAAAAUAAAUUCUGUGUAUAAAUAUUACUUGAGAGUGAAUUUUCACUUUUGUGUUUUUUCUAUAUCUUACAUUUAUCUCUUCAUGAUUAUUGGAUAUGUGCUGUAACUUUUCUCGUAUGUUUCCAUAUAAAUUACAAAUGUUGUAUAACAUUUAUCAAUGUAGAAAAAAUCUUAGGUGAUUAAAGGAAAGUUGAUUGUCCAGAAAUUACUUUUUCCUAUUUCAUCAUCAACCGACCUCAAGGCCUCCUAUGGUUGUUCUAUUUUUCAUUUUUAUUUUCUUGAAAUUAAGUCUAUAAACGCUCAUUCUACCUUUAGUUAUACGUUCUAAAAUUAUAUUAUAUUUUAGUUUGACUUCUUGUAUAUUAUUAUUUUGGUACAUUUCUACCAUUUCUACAUUUUAUUUGCACAUAAUUAUAUGUUCUUUUUAUAAUGAUAGAUAACUUCUUUGUUACAAUGUCCAGUUAUUUGACAAUCAUUCAUUUCUAGUUCUGAUUAAUUUUUCUUUGUUAUCACGGGCACUUUACAGGUAUUUUUAUUUUACUUCUUUUGAUGGAUUUAUUUUUUAGUUUUUCUUCCAACAUUUUCUCUCUCAUCUUUUUCUACUUUUCUUAAGUAUAUUAUUAAAUUUUAUAUCUCUGGAGUCUUGGUAGAAGUUAUUUAUUUUUGCGGUAGGGGUGAUUUCUCUUUUUUGCCCAUUCUGUUUUCUUGGUUCUCUUUCUUUUUUUAUACAAUGGUAACUGAAACAUUCAAAGCCUUGCUUUCGGCUUCCCUAGCUAGCCACAGUGAUGUAUUAUAUGCAAAUGGCAGUUUUCCUUUGGACACUGAGAAAAGGCAAAUGCAAAUGGCAACUGCACGGUACACCUUACAGGACAGUUUUUGAUGCUUUUGCAGGUAAUUUGUAUUAGUUGUGUUAUGUCUGGAAGUGAUUUUAUAUUAUUAUAGUUGUACUAGAUGUUCUAUCCUUGGGACGCAGAGAAAAGGCAAAUGCAAAUGAAGAGUACACACUGUCCUGGAUGAUACUUUGCAGGUAAUUUGUAUUAGUUGUUAUGUCUGGAAGCGAUUUUAUAUUAUCAUAGUUUGUUGUUAGUUGUUAUAAGUAAUUCUGAAGUCUGACAAUGAUUAUUUAGAGUGAAAUCUGGGCAGGUUUGUUGGAGACAAACCGUCUGACAUACAUGAUUUAUGUUCUUUGUAGUUCUGUGCUCAUUGCCUAUGUGAGUAUAGUCUACUUUCUUGUCCUCACAAUCUUUUCCCAACCUUUUCAUGUCUUUCAUAUUUUGAACUGCAUUCAUGGUUUUCGUAUAACUAUAAUAGACGCUCUUAUUCUUUUACUGUGAAACCACUUUUAGUUAUCUAUUUGCAAUAUGCUGUAUGUUCUAUUAGACAGCUACUUGUAGGAGUAUAGAUGAUGAAAUAAACAGAUUUAUUUUGUUAGACGAAAUCUAGUUGAGGAAUUUGACGUUUUUCUUCCUUUAUGUAAAAUCCUAAUAUUAGAAAACUAAGCAAAAGCAGAAAUAGUUUGCAGAGCUGUAGCUUAGGAAUUAUUUUCCUCAAUUUGACUUGAUGUUUGACGCAGGUAUAUGGAUGGGUGAUGGAUAUAUUGCUUUUGAGUGAUUUUUCACUUUUGUAUUCAUUUCUCUUUACCAUUACGGGAUCUGUCUUAUAACCUUUCUCAUGAUUUUCUACGUGAAUUGCAAUUGUUGUAUAAUAUUUUAUCAUAUUAGAAAGAUAUGAGGUGAUUAAAGAAAAAUUGAUUGUCCGGAAAUCAAUUUUUCUUAUUACACCUCAUGUCAAUGCCCAAAUUCCAUAACCAUUUGGUUAUUGUUAUCUUAAAAUUUUGAAAAUUGAGUCUAUAAACACUCAUUCUACUAGAAUUAUAUCAUAUUCUUUAGUUUGAUAUCUUGUAUAUUAUUAUUUUGGUACAUUUCUUUUGUCUUAUUCGCACCAAAUACCACGUUUCUUUGUUUGUUUGCAUGGUGCUUUCAAGGUAUUUUUCCUUUACCUCUGUUGACAAAAAAUAUUUUGUGUACUUCUUCUUGGUACAUUUUCCUUUUCUUCUCAUCAUUUGCUACUUUAUUUUAAAGUAGAUUAUGAAAUUUUAUUUAUUUAUUUUUGGUGGAUGAAUUUUUGUUUUUGUUUUUGUUUUUUUUUUGCCAUUUAUGAUCUCUUGUUGGUUCUUUUUCUUUUUUGAUGUUAGUUUUUUUAGUUUUGGAUUUGAAUUGAUAUUUACUCCUUUUGAAUGUGGUCUUUUAUGAGAAGGUAAAAAAAUUUAUCUUACUUUUUAAUGCCAUUCAUUGUAAUUUUAUUUUUGGUAUCUUUUUUUUUACUUCACUUGUGUAAUUUAUUUUUCUUGGAUGGUGAAAUUUUUUUCACCAUUUAGCUGUGUUUAGUUUCUUUUUAUGUUACAUUCUUAUUUUGUUUGCUUUCUCUAGUUUUAUUUUGUUUUUUUUUUCAAUUAUUUGUAAUUUGUUUUACCAUUUUUAUAAUAUUAUUUUCUUUAGGUCUAUUAUUAUCAGAUAUAUAUUUUGUGGUCAUGGUAGAUUUUUUCAUUAAGGAUAUUUUUUUAAAUUGCAAAAUAAAUUAAAAUAUUUAGUCUAUUGUAAAAUUUUGAAUUCUAUCAACGAUAAAAAUGAUAGACAUUUAUCACUGUCUAUUAUUGUUUAUUAUUGAUAGAAUCUAAAAUUUUGCUAUAUGUUGUAAAUAUUUUGUCAAAUUUGUCAUUUUUGACAUUUUCACUUUUCAUUAUCGUCAUGGAUUCUCUUUUUUCACACUUCGUCUCUUUUCUUUUAUUUAACCUUUCUUUAUGAAAUGUUGUAUCUUUCUGCUUUUCUCUCAAGUGAAAUAUUAGAUUUGGUACUUUUUCUUUUACUCAUUUGGUACAUUUCUUGUUGAACCAAGGUAUAAUUUGUUCUUCUUUGAUGGUUCAAAAUAAUCACUCUACGUUUGACUUUGGUUCUUUUAUUAUCUGGCACAACUUUUAUAUAUAGUUAUUUUCUUUGGUAAAUUUAUUAUAUUAUUAGAUAUAUUAAUUUGUUAGUUUUGUGUACUAUCCAAGGCAGUAAAGAAGUGUAGAAUGACAACUCCUUUCUAUUUUCUAAUUCACUUUUACAAAUAUUAGUUUUAGUAGUUUUUUAUUUUACUCAUUUGGUCAUAUAUUUCUUUUCUUUUGGAAUGGAUGUGUAAUUUUAUUUUUGUUGGAUGGUUUGAAAUAUUUAGGUUCAUUGUCAUUCUUCUAGUUUUAUUUUGAAUAAUUAUAAUUUGUGACAAUUUUUAGAAUAAUGACUAAGUGUAUAGUAAUUAGAGGUUUAAGAAUAACUUGGGUAAUCCAACAACUUGGAUUAUCCAAUCCAUAUUAUAUGGGUUGGGUUGGGUUAGGUUAAAAUAUGGAUUGGAUUGGGUUGGGUUGAAAAAAAUGAAUUUUUUUUAGUUGGGUUUAGUCUCGGGUUGUAAGGUUGAAAAAUUCGAUCAAAUUAAUCAUAUAUAUAUAUAUAUAUAUAAAUAAAUAUUCCUCUCUUCUCACUCUCAAUCCUCCUUUGCGCGUCGCAUCCCUUUUAUUCUCACAUCUCCUACGUCUUCGACAUCUCCUUCGUCUCUACUUUCCUUCAUCUCUGACUCUCCUUGUCCUACUUAUCCCGCGCAUUCCUUAUAUUAUCACAUCUCCUCCGUCUUCGACAUCUUCAUUUCUAACUCUCCUCUAUCUUUGAUCUUCACAGUUCAUCUCGUUAGAUCUCAGAUCUCAUAUACUCGCAGUUCGACGUCAUGUUCUUCUUUGUCAAUCUCUUCAGCUUCUGAAUAACCGACAAUCCAAUUUAUAUUUUAUGGGUUGGUUUAGAAACUUGAUUUAACCCAAAUAACCUAAAAGUAUGGGUUUGGUUGAGAUGUUUCUCAACCCAACCUUACUACACCCUUAACAGCAACUUUUUUAAAAAUUGCAGAUAUAGCAAAAUUCUUUAGUGAUAAACUUCUAUCGCUCAUAGAUUAUUAUGGUCUAUCAUGAUUGAUUUUGACAGAUUUUGCUUUAUUUGUAAAUUUUUAAAAUGUUGCUAUAUAUUUAAUUAUUUUAAAUUUAAUUACUAUAUUUGCAACUAUUCUUUUAUUUUGUGUGGUUCUUCUAUUAUUUGGUACACUUUAUAUAUUAUUAUUUUCUUUGGUUUUAUUAUAUUAUGAGAUAUAUUCUGUUAAUUUUGUGCAAAAUACUCUACACAUAUUUUACUUGCUAUAUGUUUCUUUUCUUUGAUUCUUCCAUUUAUCUUUUAAUUCUCUUUUGAAUAUUUAUUUUCUUGAAAAUCUUGGAUUGUAUUUUGUGGAUUUUUUUUCUUAACGUGCACUUCAUCUUUUGAGGUCAAAUGUUUAAUCUAUCAUUUGAUUUAUGUAUCAUGGUCUUAUUUAAGAACGGAAGAGUUCACUACAUGCGAAAAAUCAAGACUCUGUUUACGAACUCUUUCCAAAACACUUCUUGGACGUUUCUUUUUGUUUUUGUUUUUGUUUUUUUCUUUGAAAAAUAAGAUAUUUUACAAAACUUUUGAAAAACUGCAUGAGCAAGGAUGUUGGCCACACACAGGGCAAUGAGCAGCAAGGCAACAUGCACCAUGGUGCGCGGAAGAUGUUGUCUUGGUGCCAUCUUUGCACAUGCGGAAGCGAACUUUCAAAUGGCAUUUACAAAACAUUGGGAAAACACUUUUUUUUCUUCCUAUUUUCUUCUAGAAAGUCUUUCCAGAACAUAUGUAUAUAUAUGUGUGUGUAUAUACAUAUAUAUUUGCAAAAUCUCUCGUUUAAAAGGUCUAUACAAGAACAUGUUCUAAAAGUUUUCUCGCUUCAAAUUCUGUUUACGAACUCUUUCCAAAACACUUCUUGGACGUUUCUUUUUGUUUUUGUUUUUUUUUUUCUUUGAAAAAUAAGAUAUUUUACAAAACUUUUGAAAAACUGCAUGAGCAAGGAUGUUGGCCACACACACGGCAAUGAGCAGCAAGGCAACAUGGCCACACACUCGUUAGUUGUGAGCUCAACUGGGAUUGAGAGUACAAUUGUCCCGCAUAUCAUUCAUUCCAUUAGCUAAUCGCUUCUGUUGCGAUCCUUGGUGGUUCAACCCAUUUGUUCUUUCAUAUCAAUCGUAGUACAACCCAAUCGCUCUUAAGUUGACUUCUCAUACUUAUAGAUUAUGAUUCUCAAUUAUUUGGCUAAGAUAACUUCCAUCGUUGAGCCUCCCUCUACUCAUUCCAAUCACAUUUCUUAACUUUGUUUUCUCUCAUUAUUUGUUGUCAUUUGCUCAACAAGUAUUUAUAUAAAUCAUCCCAAAUCAACUCCCACUUUUCAGAUUUCCAUGGAUAUAAAAAGAAAUGGUGGCUCAUCAUUCGUACCAUUUCUUUUGUUGAUGGGCAUGAAUUACGGGUCAUUAUGAACUCACCAACAAGCAACCAACCAUUUUGACUCCUUGUUAGUACUUAAAAGUUAACAACUUUAAUCAUCUUCUACUAGAUAAAAUAAGUUGUGUUUUCAAAGUUCAUGUGUAAAGCAAAAGAGAUUGUCUUAUAGUGACUUUAACAUAGAUUACACUCCCAUUGUGAAAUAAUAUAUAACUAUAUUUAUAUCAACUAUAUAUUACAUAUAUAACAAAACCCUAAAAUAAAGUUAAGUUGUCCAAAAUAACAAACUAGCGUCCUCCUUGAAAAAUUAUAAAAAUUUCAAGUUAGAUUGUCUUGGAUUUUAGGAUGUAUUAAGGCUAUCUCCAUGUAUUAGAGAAUAUAAGAAAUUCUAUUUAACAAUUUAAAAAAUUAUAAGAUUUUUUUGUAGCCUUAUCCUUGCAAUUGAAGUAGGAGAUUAAAUCCGAAACUCUUGUCGAAAUUGGGCAAGCAUGCUAGCCUGAAAAGAUUGGUUCCGUCGGAAAACAAGAGGGGUUGGUCAAUAUCGGUUUCAGAAAGUUUCAAAUUGAAAACUUUAAAAAAUUAUUUAUAAGUCGAUCAACCCAAUUAAUAUCAACUGACACUUACUCAUCAAUGUCGAUUUUGUAAAAAAUACCAUCUCCGACCGACCGAUUAACACCGAAGUCGGGAACUUACGCAUACUAGAUAAGUGUAGAGUAUAUAUAUCUUUUUCAAAUUUGAUUAAAUUACCAAAUAUUAUAUCCAAUUCUCUCUCUACCCUUUUUUUAUCUGCGUUCCCGCCCGCCGCUCGGUGAACUCAUUUGCGCAGCUCUUUCCUCUUUCUCUUCUUUGUCUUCCUCUCGGCUUCACAAUCUUCAUCGUCAAUCUUUGAUCCAGCCUAAGAAGGCGCUGUACAUUAUAGGGUUUUAAGUAGAAGGUGAGUUUUCAGAUUGCUUUUAUAUCUUCUGUCAAGCUAUGAUGCUUUUGGUACUUAUCGACCACUUUCUCAUGCAAGAAUAUUUGAGUUUGAGAAUUAUUUGCUGAAAUUUUUAUGGGUUUAUGGAGUAUUUUCUACUUUGUUUUGGCGGAGUUGAGUUUGCUUCUUAGGUGUAGAGAAGUUUGUUCAGUGUUGUUUUUGUUUUUGAGGCUACAACUCAAUGAAAAAACUCAUUGUUCAUGGAAUUAGGGUUUUAUCUUGUUUAAUGGGGAACAGGCAUGUUUGGUAUUGAUUUUGUGCAUUGUACUGGUAGUCGAGAUCGCAUUGCCAUCUUACAGUUGCUUAUUCUUUUUUUUCUUAUUUUCUUGAUAGUUAUUAGACAAUUGAAACCUCAUAAUUCAACCAAAAUGGCGGCCUUCAAUCUCGUUGCGGAUAUGUAUGACCCGGCCUUGAAGCCUCGCUUGCUACAUAAACUUCUUAGGGAGCACGUUCCCGACGAUAAGCGUGCAUUUUCUGAUUAUUCAGAACUUUCAAAUGUGGUUUCUAUGAUCACAUCCCACGAUCUUCUCUCUGAAUCCUCGUCUUCCAAGGACCAAAAGCUGAUUGAUAGCUGGAAAUCCGCUGUUGAUUCCUGGGUCAACCGUUUGUUUCUUCUUCUCUCCAACGAUAUGGUAUAAGCAUGCAUUAAAUUCUAUUUAAAUAAUUUUUUUAAUAAUACAUAGCUUUUGCUUUAUACUCCCGUGGAUUUGACUAUUUGUCGGCUGCCGGGCUUAUGUGUAGCUUGUUCGAAGAACAGCUGGAACGAAGUUCAGUGGAACUUGUUAAGUUUCAUAAUCAAUGAGUUCGCUGCUGGUUAUUGAGAGAAAAUUUAUAGUUAGUGUUAAUCUAGAAAGUUUGUCGCCUUAGAGCGCCCUUUGCGCUUUGAAAACACCGUUUAAUUCUUAGAAACUGAACAUUUGAACCUUGCUUGCAUAUUUGGCAAUUCAUUGGCAUGCAGGAAGAUAGGGAAUAAUAUUGACUGUCUUUAUUACUUUGUUUUUUAGAUAUUGCUCAACUUCCUUUUGUGGGUUACUAAUUUUAGCAUCCAAUCUUUCUAAAGCCUGAUAAAUGUUGGGCGGGAAUCAUUUUACUUGGAGUGACUUGUCAACGAUGCAGCUCUAGUCGUUUCUUGGCAUCAUAUACAGAAUGGCUUCACAAGCUUUUACCUCACAUGCAGGUAACAGUUAGUUUUUUAUGGGAUUGAUUCUAUAUUAUUUCUUUACAUGUAUUAAGUGGCAAAAAUGUUAAAUUAUAGUGUACACAUGAAGAAGAAUAAGAGUUAAAUGAUAAGUUAUUCCAUCAGAACUAAGAUACCGGUUACUGUUUGGGACACAUAACUGCAAUAAUUCAACUAUGCUUUUGAGCAUGUGAUGUGGCUGGAUCGUCUUUGACAGUCGACCUGUUUGACUACAGUAAAUAUGUUUGUUCUGAAAUUUGGGUAUGAUUGGUUGUAAGAUAUUCAUCAAAAUGAGUUCUGGACAUUAUUUGUGACAAUAAGUGAUUAUUGUUUCUUGGAAAGAAUGCAAAAUCACGCAUUGGGGGUUUCCAAGCUCUUAUUCUUUUCAUUAAUAUAGGAUUGAACAAGUAAGAUAAACUACGGAUGAAAUAGCAGGUCUAACCAGCUCUCCUCGUACAUGAGGGUCCCCAAAGACAUGCAUCGGGCAUGUAUCUGAUUAGCAUAAGAUAGCCUUUGGCAACACUUAAUGAUUGUGGAGCUACUGAAGGACCUAAUGCACUGCUAUUCUUGAGCAUGGUUAUCUGAUAUUUUAUCAAGUGUUAUACAAAGUGCAAUUUUUUUUUCUUCUGAAGACACAAAAGAAUAUAUUGAUCACAAAUAGUGUGUGACGUAGUUCCAGAGCAAUGUCAAGUUCCUUCUUUUUCUGUUCCUUUUAUUUAUAUUGUUUCUGUCUUUAGCUUUACAACUUAUAAUCAUCAAUGCUUUUUUUUAUACUUGAAUGCUACCAAGAAUUUUACAACGUUUUCAUUUUUUGUGUUUUUAUUGUUCAAUAGACAGAUUCUCAGUUUCUGAAGGUGGCCUCUUGUGCUUCAAUCUAUGAUUUAUUCUCGAGGUACAUCUUCAUUUGACCUUGGCAGAAAUCUAUCACACGAAGUUGUCCCUCAAACACAACCCUUUUUUUUAUUCGAAAUGGUAACAAUGUCAUUGAUAAGAUGAAAUUAUAAAAGGAUACCUAUCAAUUGGAUUACAAAAAACUCUUCCAUCGAGUAAUAAGAGAAACUAAAUCAUAAUUAUAAAAAGGGGUAACCAAUUCACCCCAAGUGAGGGUUGUAUGUGUCACUCAAACACAAAUUGAUUUGUUAACUAUACCCCUUCCAAAAGCGAAAUUUUUAUGUGCCUUGUGUAUAUUUAACUGAAUACCUCUUAGGAUUUGUUUAUUGUUGAUUCUACAUCGACUUUGUGGUCUGUGGAUUCAACUAUUGAAUGCUGACUUGAGAAUAAUAGAUAACUGAUUGAAUCACAUUCUGUAAGUUAUUACUGUCAAGUCGUUUUAUUGCCAAUAUGAGCAUAGAACUAUUGGUUAAGGCAUAUAUCCCACCUCCAUAUGUUGUUGAGCUUAAAAAUAAAAAUUGUCUAUUUAUUUAUUUUUUAAAAUAAAAUAACCACUUUCAUUGAGCAAAAUCAAAGAAAAUUGUCUAAAACUUUUAAGCAAUAUGCUUGACCAUAUUAUUGCUUGUUUCGUGACUUUUUAAGAUGUAUCUUUUACAAAUUAGAUUGGGUAGAUUUCAAAGUGUAAAGAAAGAUGGGACUUCUUGUGCUGGGAAGGUCAUUCAACCUGUUGCAUGAUGAUAAUACUGAAGCUGUUUUGGUAAGUCCAUUUUUCAUGGACUAUUUUCAUGCAUUCAUGAGCUAAAUAAUUUUGUAACAAUGGUAUUUUAAUUAUCUAUGCCAACUGAGAUCCUCUUUUGUAAAAAUUUCUUAGUCUUUUGUGAAAUUUUUCAUCUCUCUUUUUGUACUCUUGCUUGGUAUUGGUAGUUGCAACUUUUGUUUUAAAAUAUGUAACUAUCUGCAUGUUGUUUGAUGCAGGAUAAUGCGGUUAAUCUGUUAUGCACCUUGAUAGAUUUCUUCCCCUUCACAAUCCAUCGUCAUUAUGACUCUGUAAGUGCUUUAACAAAUAAUGUGAUAUUGAUUCUGUUUUAAAUUACAAUUUUGGAACUCUGGUAGCUUUCUGACUUUUCUGUUCACUGGUGAUGUAAUCUAAGCUUCCGAAGUUUGUUAUUAUUAUCGUUAUUAUUUUUAAUUUGAUUUAGUUUAAUUUUUUUCCUUCACAAAAAAACUGCUAUAAAAAACUGGAAAGAGAGUGUUUGUAUUACCAUUAGAAGCUGAAAUAAUUAAAUUUUCUCCCAUAAUUGCACUCAACAUCUUCAGCACAUAUGGCUUCAUGCUGUCACUUGUCAGCAUGUUGUUUAUCUAUAGAUCACUAUCUUUGUAAUUCAAAAACUGACAAAGUUUAAAUUCCAUGCCAAAUAGAAAAAAAGGAUUUAUGUUGAAAUAGUUGAUUUUGUUUCUUCCUGAUGAAUUGGAUAUAUUCUAUAGGCCGAAGCUGCAAUUGUUUCAAAAAUAUUUUCAGGGAAGUGUAGUUCUAACAUGCUGAAGGUACUGUGCCUCUUAUGUAGUUUUAAUCAUAGUACAGUAGAUAUUAACGUCAAAUGUCCCCCAUAAUUUUCUCUGUGUUUUAUAUUUCAAAUUUAGAAGCUUGCCCAUUGCCUGGCAUCACUUCCAAAAUCAAAAGGAGACGAAGAUAGCUGGUCUUUACUAAUUCAGAAGAUUUUGUUAUCCAUCAAUAGUCACUUGAAUGAGGCCUUCCAAGGCAUCGGUGAAGGUAUACUGAACUGUAAAACAAGUAAAGCUAUCUCAAUUUAUGAAAAUGGUGACAAUGAUGCAUUUGAAUGUUUUUUGUAGAUUCAAAAGGCAUUGAAGUUGUAAGGUUACUGAUUCUACCAGGAAAAGAUCCUCCACCACCUUUAGGUUGUUGUUCACAAUCAGAAGGUUCCUUGGACAAAAUAAAAAAGAGCUCAGAGCGGAUGUUAACAUCUAGUAUUUCAACCUUGAUGGUUUGCUGUUCCACAAUGAUAACAAGUUCAUACAACCAUCAGGUAGCAACACGUCAUCCAUUUUUUUGUUAUGCUCAUAUUAAAAGAGGAAAUGUUCCCCUCUAUAUGAAUCUAUAUACAUCUACUGUGACACCUCACUUUCUUAAUUAAUAUAAUGAAAUAAAGAAAGUGGUGUUAAAUUGAUCUUUAUUUGUAUUAUAUCAGGUGGCAGUUCCCAUUCGCCCGUUAUUAGCUCUUGUUGAGAGAGUGCUGACGAUGGAUGGUUCUUUGCCACCCACUUCAGUGCCAUUUAUGACAUCUCUGCAGCAAGAAUCAAUGUGUUUAGAACUUCCGGUGCUGCAUUCAGUCAGUUUGGAUCUCCUCGUUGCCAUCAUUAAGAGCCUUCGCAGGUGAGGCAUCUACUAUUCAACUACACGGACUAUAUACCAUAAAACCUUUAUGCAGACCCAGACUUUUUCAGUAAUCAAUACCCAUCCAUAAACAUAUCACAUGUGCUUUCUUCCACCUCUACAAGAUGCGAUCAACAAUGAUCUUUCAUGUUUAUAUGAAUACGAAAAUGAUCCAAUGGUAUACAAAGUUUCCACUUAGAUAAGUUGGGAAGAAAAUGUGUGAAGUCUAGCCUGUCAAUUGCCACUGAAAAAAAUAUGGAUGCCAUAUUUUUGUUUAUAUAAUUAUUAUUAAAUUCCUUUUCAGUCAAUUGUUGCCACAUGCUGCAUCAAUUGUACGACUCAUUGUGAAGUACUUCAAGAAGUGUGUCUCUGCAGAACUGAGAGUAAAAGUCUACGCAGUUGCUAAGUCAUUGAUGACGUCUUUGGGUGUUGGUAAGAAUUAUAUUGUGUUUCAUUUGGCAUGGAGAUAAUUAUAAUUAUUGUUUUAAUGUCUAUAUGGAAACAUUGUUUUGGGAUGUAUACUUAUUCAAUGCCGCAUUUGAAUCAGGAAUGGCUGCAUCUCUUUCUCGAGAUGUGAUUGACAAUGUACUAGGUGAUUUGAACCCUGUAAAUAAUGAGAGUUCUGAUCCAUCUAAUGUGAAUCCAAAGGACACGCAAAGAGAUUUACCGCAACACCAUAAUAAGAGAAAACGCCCUUCAGUUCCCACUUCCAUGAAAGGGCAGCACGAGAGGAAUGAACCAGAGGACAUUACCAGCAGCUGUAGCUAUACCUCAGUCCACUUGAGGAUAGCUGCACUUGAGGCUUUGAAGACUCUUCUUACAUCGGUGGGCAUUAUAUAUGUUAUUUGUCUCUUUGGUUAAUUAUUUUGCAUACGAAUUUAUUAAAAAAAGUUAUUAAUGGGAAUAUUUUUGGUUCAUUUGUGUCAAAUGGUUUUUAACUGCUGACUGCUUUAUUUAUUUAUUUGUUUGUUUGUUUUUCGUUGAUUAUUUGUAUAGGCUGGUGCUUUGAGAUCUGAAGAAGGAUGGCGUGCAAAAGUUGAACAUCUUUUAAUAACAACUGCAACAUCUUCUCUUCAAUGGCCACGAGCCUCGGACGACACCUUUUUCCAAGCCAAUGAAUCUAUUGAGGUUUGGGUGGAUUAUCAGUUGGCGGCAUUUCAUGCACUACUGGCUUCUUUUUUGUCUGCUGUCCAUGUACGCCCACUGGCUUUGGCUCAAGGUCUCGAGCUCUUUCGUAAAGGUAAAUCUCUUUUGAUAUUUCGUUUGAUCAUGUGGAAGGCUGGGUUUGAGAACGAGGAUGCUAGAUCACCUUAUUUAUGAGUCAAACUGAUAGGCAUUUUCUUCUUCAGGUAAACAAGAAAAUGGAACCAAACUUGGUGAGUUUUGUGCCCAUGCUCUCUUAGCCAUGGAGGUUCUAAUACAUCCGAGGGUCCUUCCCCUCUCGGAUUUCUUGCCAUUGCGCUUGAGCUCUCCUGAACCACAAGCUGCCUUUAAAUUCCAGGAAGAUCUGUACUUCAACAGUAACGAUUCUAGGAAAUUGUUGAAGGUCGGCCCGCAAAGCAUGGAGCAGAUGGCCUCCGAGGCUCUAAUUAGUGAUGAUGUGGUAGAUAACAAUGAAAUGACGUAUAGCACCUCAAAUGAUAUUGAAAAGGAGCCCUCUGCAAAUGGCAUAGCGAAUAUAGAAAUGCCCAAGAGAACCGAACAGGCCACUGCAGCAGCCAUCUCAGAAGUAGGGGUUGUAGCGGAAGAUGACGUUGAAUUUGCUAAUGCAAGUAUGAAUAGUUCCCCCAUGUCAUCAAAAUCAGAUAAAAUCGAAGAUUUUGGACGGGAUUCGAGCUCGAAUUUAUUGCUAGAAGAUGACUUUCCUGAUAUUAUUGAUGCAGAUCCUGAUACAGACUAUGAAGAGUGAAAAAGGUAUUGUCAAUCAUUGACUCAAUUUUGUAGUUUUAAGGCUUAAGGGUGUUGUUCAGAACUCAAAAUCAAUUAUUAUUGUUGUGUUCUAUUCAUGUAGCCAUAGAUGGCUUGAACUGAUGAUCGAGAAUGGUUAUGUAUAUAAAAAGGUGAAAGUUAGACAAAUUUCAAAAGCUUUGAUUGCUAGUUUCUGAUAAAUUUUCUUUCAAUCAUUUUUAUUUUUUUUCAUUCUUAGAUAAUGGGGUGCCGAUUUGCAAUAUACGUUAGGACAACGAUUAGAUGCAUUAUAGAAUAUACCAUCUUUUAAGUAAUGGUAUUAGAUACGGUAGGACAACGAUUAGAUGUAUUAUAGAAUAUACCAUCUCGUAAGUAAUAUGGUAUCUUUUUGAAGUCCUAAAAUGUUGAGGGAUAAAUUUGUGGGUAUUACAAUCUCGAGAUGUAGUUAAGAUCAACAAUAUCUAAAUAGGCAAUUAAAUAAACAAUGUCUAAAUAGACGAUUAAAUGAACCCUUUAGAAAGAGAGGCAAAAAUAAAAUGACAGAGUGAAGUUUCUUUAAAAAAACUUUUUAAAAAUUAUUGUUUUGAUAAUAACUGAUCGUAGUUAACUACUAGUGCUCAGUCUCUUUUUACAUCUUACUCUGUUUGAAUCAAUUUUUAACUUAUCAUCAUGUUUGAAUCAAUUUUAGGGUUAAGUGAAUGUCAAGUGAAUGUAUUUUGUUCUUACAACAUAUGUGUUAAGUGAAUGUAUUUUGUUCAAACUCAAUUAAUUUAGGAAAAAUGUUUUAAAUAAAAAACUAUUUAAAACAUUUACAAAUAUUAAAAUUUAUAUGUUUAUUAGUAUUUUUGUUAAUUAAUUUUGAAAUUUUAGUCUGUUUUGUAAAUAUGGUUUAUUUUGCUAUUUUGAAAACAAUCCAUUUGAAUGUUGUUUUGUUUAAAUUAUUAGAAUUGUAUUAUUGGAUAAAUAGACAUUUUAAAAAAUAGCAAAAUAUUAAAACUAUUUAUACAAAAUUCCUCAAACUUUUCAUAUAUUUAAGUUUUUCUUUAAAAUUAUAUUUCAUAAAUAGUUUUUUUUUAUCCAUAACAAAUUUUCAUGAUAAAUGGUAAAGCAUAUUAAAUAUGUAAAUAGUUCAACUCAGUUAAUUGUAAUUUGGUCCAUAUCAUACUAAAAAAGUUAUAUGUAUGUUAUUUUAAAAGAGUUCAUAUCAUACAGUUUCUUAAAUUUUAGGUACCAAACUUAUAAGAUACAAAAAUCAAAGUUUAAAAAUAGAAAGUAAAUAUUUUGGCAUUCUAUUUCUAGAAAAAAAAACUCCUUAUAAUAAUUACUAGUAAAAAAAAAAGUUGGUUGAUUUUCAUUUUUUUUUUAAUCUCAACCUUUCAUGUUAAAACUUUAUAUAAAGAUUUUUUUUUAAAUGACAAAUUUAACAGUAAGAUUUUAUAUUAUAUCAAUUUGAUAAAUAUUGAUAGACAUUAAUAUGAUAAUAAAUAUGAUAGAUAUUCAUAUGUUUUUAUCUGACAAUAAUAGAAGUUUAUUUAGUUUAUCUCGUUAAUAAAAUCUAAAAUGUUUGUCUAUGAUGAAUAUUUUAGUUUAUUUUUGUAUUUUAAAAAAUAUCCCUCCAAAAAACGUAAUUUUUUUCCACUAAAAGUUAUUAAAAUUUAAUAACAAGAGUUGGUGAAUUGCUACAUUGUUAUUUCAUUUAUAUGUCAUUUACAUCCCAUUGUAAUUUACAGAUUUUUUUUUUCAAAUGGUAUGGGUAAGUAAUCAGUGCGGUUUAGUGUAAGGAUUAGUUAUAUUCAAAUUAUAGCAAACUAUCUUAAUUUGAAACUUAACGGCGUCAACGACAAGCAACGGCGUCAACGACAAGCAACGGCUACAUUUUUAGGUUUAUUUACUUCAUUCAACUCUCAAAACAAUCUCCGUCGCCAAUUUCUCUCUAGAAUUUUCUUCUUCCGCCUCCGUGCACAGCGUCGAAUCUCCAAACCCUAAUUUAUAAAUGCAAUUCCGAUCCACAAAUUCUUAUGCUACCUCGAUCUCCUCUUUGGGAGCUUCUAUUCCCUAAUCUUUGAUGUCUUGCUUCGUCUGCGGUUGAGGAUCUCGGAGGACCGGAGUCACGGGAGGUCGCUGAUUUGGAUGAAGCCAUGAGUCGAUUGAUGCUCCCUUUUUCAUCUCCUAAGAAGAAUUCCAAAUCCUUGGAUGUGGCUGAUGCUGCUCCUGCCUAUCAUUUUUCAUCCGCUUGAUUUCCUUCCCUUUCUGGUUCAGCUUAUUCUGCUCUCGAUAGGGUUUCCGAGGAUGCUAUCAAUCAGGUUGAUCAGUUCCUUCGUGAGGCUUUGCAUAACCCUCGGGAGCGUCUAUCAAGUAAGUUGUUUAUUUAGCUUUCCUUUAUUGUAGAUGGUCAAUGGUGUGAUUGGUUUCAGGAGUUGUCUAAUGUCAUGUUCUGUAGAGGGAGGAGAUAGUUAAAAGUUGCUAGCUACGGCCUUCUCGAAGGUGGGCUGGAAGUGGCUGGUUGCUUCCCGGAUUUGUAUAGGCUUUUAGUUUGUUCUAGUCUUUCGAAUGCCUCAUUUAAAUCAAUGGUAUUAGAAAUUUAGAAGUAUUAUUGCCAAAAACUACAUGGUGGAUUUCAUGAAGAUGUGAUAUAUGUUUGGAACAGUAUCGUGAAACUAUGUGACAUGAUGUGCUUUUAGGUAAUCCAAGACAAAGGUUGGAUGGUUGUAAGACAAUCUUGGGAAGAUGUGUGGACUAGUGGAGGGUUUUUGGUUAACCGUUUUUCUAGUCGGUACAGGGUGGUGGAUUCGAAGAAUUAAUUGCUGAAGGAGUUGUAGGACUUAAAAGCUGGGUUGCAAAAUGAAUGCAAGACGAAAUUUAGAAGAUGGAGAAGAAAGGGAGAUUUUGUUGCUAUUGGAUGUUCUGAAUACUUAGAGCUAAAUGAUGAAAAUAAAAUAAUUUACGAGCUAAACUUUUGCUGUGAUUGGCGAUGAAUUCCGUCAUGGGGGGAAGGCAUGCAGUCUCUGAUUAUCAUCCCUUGCCCUUAGGCUUUUUAAAUGAGGCUUUUUCCGUCUUAAUAAUAUUUCUUGUUUCUCAUCAAGAAGAUAAAUGGAGUUGUAUCUUUUCAGCCUACCAAGCAAAAUUGUUUCUAAAAAAAAAACUAUCACUAUCUAAAAGCAUUAGGAAUUAAAUUUACUGUAGUCAAGAAGAUGCUCAGUAACUGGAAAGCAUUUUUUACCUGUUUUGACACUGAAGCUUCGUUAAACCAAAAGAAAAAGGAGACAACCUAUUGGUAGAAAGGUCUUUACAAUGAUGUAUUGAUGCCUACAAAAUUAUUUUUUUUGUCUAACAUGGUUCUGACUAGUACCAUAACUUCAAGUGCUUAAUUAUUAUCAUGCACUUAUUAUAUUGUUGAAAACAUGGUGUUAAUUAUCUAUUCCCUUC